GACGAACGCUGGCGGCGUGCUUAACACAUGCAAGUCGUACGGUAAGGCCCUUUCGGGGGUCCACGAGUGGCGAACGGGUGAGUAACACGUGAGUAACCUGCCCACAACUUUGGGAUAACGCUAGGAAACUGGUGCUAAUACUGGAUAUGUGCUCCUGCUGCAUGGUGGGGGUUGGAAAGCUCCGGCGGUUGUGGAUGGACUCGCGGCCUAUCAGCUUGUUGGUGGGGUAGUGGCCUACCAAGGCGGCGACGGGUAGCCGGCCUGAGAGGGUGACCGGCCACAUUGGGACUGAGAUACGGCCCAGACUCCUACGGGAGGCAGCAGUGGGGAAUAUUGCACAAUGGGCGCAAGCCUGAUGCAGCAACGCCGCGUGCGGGAUGACGGCCUUCGGGUUGUAAACCGCUUUCAGCAGGGACGAAGCUUUUUGUGACGGUACCUGCAGAAGAAACACCGGCUAACUACGU
rnacentral:rRNA from 1 species